AUGCACGCUGGCGGCGUGCUUCACACAUGCAAGUCGCACGAAGCACUUUAUUUGAUUUCCUUCGGGACUGAUUAUUUUGUGACUGAGUGGCGGACGGGUGAGUAACGCGUGGGUAACCUGCCUUGUACAGGGGGAUAACAGUUGGAAACGGCUGCUAAUACCGCAUAAGCGCACGGCAUCGCAUGAUGCAGUGUGAAAAACUCCGGUGGUAUAAGAUGGACCCGCGUUGGAUUAGCUAGUUGGUGAGGUAACGGCCCACCAAGGCGACGAUCCAUAGCCGACCUGAGAGGGUGACCGGCCACAUUGGGACUGAGACACGGCCCAAACUCCUACGGGAGGCAGCAGUGGGGAAUAUUGCACAAUGGGCGAAAGCCUGAUGCAGCGACGCCGCGUGAGCGAAGAAGUAUUUCGGUAUGUAAAGCUCUAUCAGCAGGGAAGAUAAUGACGGUACCUGACUAAGAAGCACCGGUUAAAUACGUG
rnacentral:rRNA from 1 species